GCAUUCCAGAUACUGAACAAAAUAGCAGAAGAAACAAAUUUCAGUGCCAACACACUCUGCAGAUUAAAGCCAUUGUUUCCGGGUCUGGGGCCUUCUUUCUUGAGAAAGCUUGUUGUUACUGAGUCUGCGCCUGAUUGUCUGUGUUGGAGUUUAAUGCUGGCUGACCUGCACCCUGCUCAUCGAGCGAUGGUCCAUUUUACACUCCAACAGGUUGGGACUUCUAGAGCUUGAGCACAAAACAAUCACCAAUUCCCAAUUUUCCAUUUGUGUUUAUGCAUUAGAUUUGGUUUGGUCUGUUGGUGUAUGAUAACACAUGCUGAUUGUUUGAAGGCUCUGGAACGAACAUCUGCAAAUAUAACACGGCAGUUGCAAUGUCUUCUACCAUUCGUUUCCUUGAAGAAAUUAAUGUCAGUUCUGGAUGGAGAGACAGUCCUUCAUCACAUAUCUCUGUAUAAGGAUAUGCCAUGGUCUCACCAACAGGCUCAAAUGCUGUUCAAAAUGACUCAGCGGACCGUGAACAUCACAGGAGUGUCAUUACUGUAAGUGAUAUCUAGCAUUACUAAACUUUAUGAUUGUUGACUGGUCGACUAGCCUCAUCAUCUACAGUAUAUUUUACUUUGUAAACUAAUGCUGGUCUUAGCAAGCCGGUGUAUUGUUUUAAAAUGUAAAAACAUUCAUACGGAAAUGUUUGGUUCUCACUGAAGAGCUUUAGGUCGUAUUGCUGGUGGCAUGAGCUGUGAUUGGCUGAAGCUUUGGGUAAAUGACUCAGGCUUCUCCGAAUUGUUGCAGUUCAUCACUAAGUUGCCAGGAGGACUUAGACCUGGUUUGAGGAAAUGCAUUGUGUUGGAGCUGCGGAAACGGCCUGAUAUUGAUCUAAAUGACUUGGACCCCUCAUUUGCUGCAGGAUUACCGCUGACUAUGAUGGAGCUCCUGUCGAACUCCUCACUCAUAAGUGUACUGGACCAUGUUCGACAACACUUCAUUGACUUUCUCCAGCUCCCACGACACAAGCAAACGGCCCUAGCAGAGAAAGCUAUCGAUGCACUCGGUAUCUCUGAAAAUGGCCUCACCGGGGCCUCCAUGGACAUACUCGGUCCUUUUCUGCCUUUCCUGGACAGGGACGUGUUAGUUCACAUGGACCGAGAGGCUCUGAAACUGCGACUAGAGGAACUGAAACAAUAUUGCCUGCCUUCUGACACCUUCAGACAAAUAGCAGCUUUGCUCACAGAGAGAAGCAUGCUGGGGUGA
rnacentral:lncRNA from 1 species